CUUAGUCACCCCAACAAAUGACAGAAGUGUCUGGGGCGAGUCCCCUGUAAGGCUGAGAAGGAGCGAGCAGGAAGGGAGGAGGAACCUGGGAACCACUGGCCUCACAGAGGGUCUCGGUAUGUAGUCCAGGCUGGCCUUGAACUCACAGCCAUCUUCCUGCCCCAGCUUCCUGAGUGCUGGUAGUGUCCCGAAGCCUGGCUUCAUUUUUCAUUCAACGAAGACUUCAUUUGUAAAAUGAACCAACAAUCCCUUCUUCCCACAACUGAGCUGUUGUUCUAAGGGGAGCUGAAUGAAAACUCUUUCAGGGUCUCACAACCCUGUGUCCUAGGCAGAGCACCUCCUCCUGGCUUGGUUAUGAGCGUUUGUUUGUAAGAUGGAGAACUGUUUGGAGCAUUGUUAAGAUUCAAAGGUAAUAAAGACACAAAA
rnacentral:lncRNA from 1 species